rnacentral:lncRNA from 1 species
UGACCUUUCAUCACAGAAUUAAUUAUAAGUAGCAUUGUCAACUCUGUCUAGAAUCAUUCUACUGGAAAUCAGUUUAAAAAGAAAUGUAAUAGACAUGUGUAUUUGCUAUCUGCGUCAUUUUAUGUUACGUUUAGCAUGGAAAAUAAACUCUUCUGUUCUUGCAGUUUAUUUUCUGAAGAUUAGCAACAGGUGAAAAUAUAUCUUAAAUAUAAAUACAUUCAUUGAAAAAGAUUGAUUGUGUAAAAAUCAUGUUUAAAGUUCAAUGGUUUAUAAAUAUUGAAUUGAGACAAAUAUUGAAGCAAGGCCUUGCUAAUUAUAAAGUCUACCGUUACAUACAAAUAAUAUGCAAUACAUUUUUGUUUUCUGAGUCACAGUGACAUAAUUAACAGAUAUACCCAGAAUGUGACCAUUACUUUAAUAUGGGUCACAUUGACCUAAUUUACCACAACAAUCUCUCUAGCCACAACAAUGUUUUAUUUAAAACUAAGUCGCAAUGACCUUAUUCAUAUUUAACCUCUCUCUAGCAACAACAAUGUUAUAAAACUAGGUCGCAACGACCUUAUUCAUAAUUUACCUCUCUCUAGGAACAACAAUGUUUAUAAGAACGUGCUUCAACACACAUAUAUAUCCCAUUUACAUGUACAUGCAUGUUAAUUGAAGAGUAUCCAUAUACAAUACAUUAAAAAUACGUUGAUAUAACUGUACAAAACAUCAUCUUCUGUUAUUAAAUAACAAAAAAUUAACAAUGAAUAUAUAAUUACAACAUAAUAGCUUACUACUUUACACUCAAACUCAUUCAAGUGUUGCUGAUUUACUUCUCAAACUGUCAAUUCUGUGAAUAAAAAUCUAUGUGUAAAUAUAUGCCAAUGAGUCUUAUCAAACAAAUUAAAACCUAAAGACAUUUGGAGGUCAACAUACUGAUUUCAAUAUUUGACAAAUAUAACAAACAUGCUAAGCUGUUUAACAAAUUGAGUUUAGAAAAUUGGUGAAUAAAUUGAGAUGAUUUGAAGUUCUAAAAAUUUAUAAAUAAAUUGAGUCUGUGAUUUUUAUGCUCCAGCCCAUUUUGUGAGUGGCCCCUAAAAAGCUAACCGAUUCGUCCACAGAAAAUGCAUUUUCAGUAUGCCAUUUAACAUUUAUAGUGAGGAUCUAUAUAAUGGUGCCUUUCUAUGAAAAUAUUUGAGAUCAAUUACAAAGGGAGACGAAGUCCAUGCAAUAUUUCAGUAUUCAAUAUUUUCAUGGCAAAAUGUUCAAUGUUUUUACAAAGACUGGCAGUACAUGCUUUACUUUAGAAUUAAUCAUAGCAUACUUAGCUCACUAAUAAUGACAUGGGUAUACUUAAUUUAAUACUGCAAUUAUAGAACAUUUCACAAAAAUAUGAAAUAUAAAAUUUCAGUUGUAGCAAAAAUAAGCUUUUAAAAUAUCAAAUCACAGUAUAACUAACUUAAAUACUAGGAAGCUUUAUAUAGGAAUGCAGUUUCAUUUUUGGAAUGUGCAAAAGCAUGAUUGUAGGUAUUUUUCAAAUAAAUGAGUAUUAAAAUGAUUAGAAAAAAAGUCCUGAAAUAAAGAGUGAAAAUUCAAGAAAUUACUUUAUGAGUAUUUGAUAAACAAGAUAUACACCUUAUCGCUAAUCCCGGCUGACCCAGCCGCUUGAACUUUUGAAGCAUACAACAAUCACUUUUCCAUUGUGGCAUCAGAUAUUUUGUUUUGUGAUGUCAAAAUUUUACAGGAACCUUUGUGAUAUCCAGUUAUGGCGGACAAAUAGUGAUAAGGUGUAUUCAUAACUAGGCCUCAAAAUAAAACAAAACUUUAAGCAUAUCAUUAAAUAUCUGUAGGCUAAACAAAUCAUUGCAAUUGAAGUAUUUUUUUAAGGGUAUAUUUCCAUUAGGCAACAAACCAGCAACCAGCAAAACUAUGAGUCAAAAUGGAUUAUUGCAUGUUACUGUGACCAUGCUUUUAACAGUACUAAAAAAGAACUUGGAUUAUAUCAACUAUUAUAAAGUGGUUUAUUUUGCAGAGAUCUUUCAUAAUUUCAAGUCAAACCCUAUUAUUUUGCAUGAUUUAUUUGUUUCUGACUCUAAUCUUCUUUGAAGCAAAACUUUUAGGAUUUAAGGAGUGAAUAAGUAAAGUGAUUUCUUCAUUUCAAUUAUAUUUCAAAAUUAACAAUAACAAAAAAUAAAGCCCUCACAAAAAUAUCCAACUUUACUAAAAUAAAGUUUUACACAAAAUAACAUUGAAAAUGCAAAUUUUGUUUCUAUCAAUAGACACAGUUAUACAACAUAAGUAGCACUAUUGCAUAUCAAACCUAUAAAUUUGCGCGAGCCAAAAGACUUUUUCCUAUUACAGACUUUUGUUUAUAUUUUCGACAGGUAACCUAUCAAAAAUUAUAAAAUCAAGGGUUAAAAGUUGAUAGUAUGAAAAUGGUCUAUUGAGAGAUCUUAUAAAUAUUGUAAAACUAACACAGUGAUGGUAGAUACACAUGACAGUAGAAU